rnacentral:rRNA from 1 species
AACGAACGCUGGCGGCAGGCUUAACACAUGCAAGUCGAACGAACGUAGCAAUACGUUAGUGGCAGACGGGUGAGUAACGCGUGGGAAUAUGCCCUAUGGUUUGGAAUAACUCAGGGAAACUUGAGCUAAUACCGGAUAAGCCCGAGAGGGGAAAGAUUUAUCACCAUUGGAGUAGCCCGCGUCUGAUUAGCUAGUUGGUGAGGUAAUGGCUCACCAAGGCGACGAUCAGUAGCUGGUCUGAGAGGAUGAUCAGCCACACUGGGACUGAGACACGGCCCAGACUCCUACGGGAGGCAGCAGUGGGGAAUAUUGGACAAUGGGGGCAACCCUGAUCCAGCCAUGCCGCGUGAGUGAUGAAGGCCUUAGGGUUGUAAAACUCUUUUAUCCGGGAAGAUAAUGACUGUACCGGAAGAAUAAGCCCCGGCUAACUUCGUGUCAGCCGCCGCAGUAAAAC